rnacentral:rRNA from 1 species
AUCUAUGGCCAUACCACCCAGAACACGUAUGAUCUCAGAAGCUAAGCAGGGCCAGGCCUGGUUAGUACUUGAAUGGGAGAAGUACUUUUUCCCACUCUGAAUAAAAAAGUAGUCUACUUC